rnacentral:rRNA from 1 species
UUAAAUUGAAGAGUUUGAUCAUGGCUCAGAUUGAACGCUGGCGGCAGGCCUAACACAUGCAAGUCGAACGGUAACAGAAAGCAGCUUGCUGCUUUGCUGACGAGUGGCGGACGGGUGAGUAAUGUCUGGGAAACUGCCUGAUGGAGGGGGAUAACUACUGGAAACGGUAGCUAAUACCGCAU